GGCUUGUAUAAAAAAUAUGAGCAUUUUUUCUAACCAAAAAUGUAUUUUCUGAGAAAAAAAUAUUAGACUGCUUAUUUUUUCUAUAAAUAUUGUUGACCUAAAACCUAGUUUGGAGGAAGGAUAGUAAACAACAUUCUAUGUUCUAUGUAUGGUUUCGGGAUGAGUUAUACUAUCCCUAUUGUACAUUGUGGUUAUUUCAAGGCACAUUUAUGUUUACCGAGUUUUGGUAGUUUUCGUAAAUUUUUAGAAAAAAAAACCGUGAUAUUGAUUAAUACGCAAAUUUGUUUUAAUUUCCGUACAUUUAAAGAACAAUAUAUUGGUCAAAAUAAUAUUGAAUUUUUUUUCUAAAAUAUCGGUAUUUCAACAACAAAUAAUAUUUGCGUGACCCUAGAUAUGAGGAAGGGGAAAUUUGUUUUAAAAUUCAAUGUAACUACAAUACUGUCAUAUAAUGUUCUAAUUUUGGACAGUGUUAUAUUCAGAGUUUUAUGCAUUAAAUAUAAAUAUCUGAAUAGUUGGCAUACAUAUGUAAAUAUACUAUAACUAUUUCCAGAAUAGAUCAACUUAAUAUUGUUUAAAAAUAAAUAAUCUCUCACGUGGU